rnacentral:rRNA from 1 species
CGCUUGCCAGCCGCUCAGAACUUAAGGAAUUGACGGGGCCGCACAAGCGGAGGAGCAUGUGGUUUAAUUCGAUGAUACGCGAGGAACCUUACCUGGGCUCGAACGUAAGAUGACUGUAGGUGAAAGCUUACAUCUCUUCGGAGCAUUUUACGAGGUGCUGCAUGGUUGUCGUCAGCUCGUGCCGUGAGGUGUCGGGUUAAGUCCCAUAACGAGCGCAACCCCUACCUUUAGUUGCCAUCAGGUAAUGCUGGGGACUCUAAAGGAACUGCCUACGCAAGUAGUGAGGAAGGCGGGGAUGACGUCAAAUCAGCACGGCCCUUACGUCCAGGGCUACACACGUGCUACAAUGGCCGAUACAGAGGGCAGCUACCUGGUGACAGGAUGCAAAUCUCCAAAGUCGGUCUCAGUUCGGAUCGGAGUCUGCAACCCGACUCCGUGAAGUUGGAUUCGCUAGUAAUCGCGCAUCGGCCAUGGCGCGGUGAAUACGUUCCCGGGCCUU